rnacentral:rRNA from 1 species
CCGCAUGGUUCAAAAGUGAAAGACGGUCUUGCUGUCACUUAUAGAUGGAUCCGCGCUGCAUUAGCUAGUUGGUAAGGUAACGGCUUACCAAGGCAACGAUGCAUAGCCGACCUGAGAGGGUGAUCGGCCACACUGGAACUGAGACACGGUCCAGACUCCUACGGGAGGCAGCAGUAGGGAAUCUUCCGCAAUGGGCGAAAGCCUGACGGAGCAACGCCGCGUGAGUGAUGAAGGUCUUCGGAUCGUAAAACUCUGUUAUUAGGGAAGAACAUAUGUGUAAGUAACUGUGCACAUCUUGACGGUACCUAAUCAGAAAGCCACGGCUAACUACGUGCCAGCAGCCGCGGUAAUACGUAGGUGGCAAGCGUUAUCCGGAAUUAUUGGGCGUAAAGCGCGCGUAGGCGGUUUUUUAAGUCUGAUGUGAAAGCCCACGGCUCAACCGUGGAGGGUCAUUGGAAACUGGAAAACUUGAGUGCAGAAGAGGAAAGUGGAAUUCCAUGUGUAGCGGUGAAAUGCGCAGAGAUAUGGAGGAACACCAGUGGCGAAGGCGACUUUCUGGUCUGUAACUGACGCUGAUGUGCGAAAGCGUGGGGAUCAAACAGGAUUAGAUACCCUGGUAGUCCACGCCGUAAACGAUGAGUGCUAAGUGU